AUUGAACGCUGGCGGCAGGCCUAACACAUGCAAGUCGAACGGUAACAGGAAACAGCUUGCUGUUUCGCUGACGAGUGGCGGACGGGUGAGUAAUGUCUGGGAAACUGCCUGAUGGAGGGGGAUAACUACUGGAAACGGUAGCUAAUACCGCAUAACGUCGCAAGACCAAAGAGGGGGAUCUUCGGGCCUCUUGCCAUCGGAUGUGCCCAGAUGGGAUUAGCUAGUAGGUGGGGUAACGGCUCACCUAGGCGACGAUCCCUAGCUGGUCUGAGAGGAUGACCAGCCACACUGGAACUGAGACACGGUCCAGACUCCUACGGGAGGCAGCAGUGGGGAAUAUUGCACAAUGGGCGCAAGCCUGAUGCAGCCAUGCCGCGUGUAUGAAGAAGGCCUCGGUUGUAAGUACUUUCAGCGGGGAGGAAGGGAGUAAAGUAAUACUUGCUCAUUGACGUUACCGCAGAAGAAG
rnacentral:rRNA from 1 species